CCUACGGGGGGCAGCAGUCGAGAAUCAUUCACAAUGGGGGAAACCCUGAUGGUGCGACGCCGCGUGGGGGAAUGAAGGUCUUCGGAUUGUAAACCCCUGUCAUGUGGGAGCAAAUUAAAAAGAUAGUACCACAAGAGGAAGAGACGGCUAACUCUGUGCCAGCAGCGGCGGUAAUCCAGAGGUCUCAAGCGUUGUUCGGAAUCACGGGGCGUAAAGCGUGCGUAGGCUGUUUCGUAAGUCGUGUGUGAAAGGCGCGGGCUCAACCCGCGGACGGCACAUGAUACUGCGAGACUAGAGUAAUGAAGGGGGAACCGGAAUUCUCGGUGUAGCAGUGAAAUGCGUAGAUAUCGAGAGGAACACUCGUGGCGAAGGCGGGUUCCUGGACAUUAACUGACGCUGAGGCACGAAGGCCAGGGGAGCGAAAGGGAUUAGAUACCCCAGUAGUC
rnacentral:rRNA from 1 species